rnacentral:rRNA from 1 species
UACGGAGGGGGCUAGCGUUGUUCGGAAUUACUGGGCGUAAAGCGCGCGUAGGCGGCUUUGUAAGUUAGAGGUGAAAGCCCGGGGCUCAACUCCGGAACUGCCUUUAAGACUGCAUCGCUUGAAUCCAGGAGAGGUGAGUGGAAUUCCGAGUGUAGAGGUGAAAUUCGUAGAUAUUCGGAAGAACACCAGUGGCGAAGGGCGGCUCACUGGACUGG